rnacentral:rRNA from 1 species
CCUACGGGAGGCAGCAGUGGGGAAUAUUGGGCAAUGGGCGCAAGCCUGACCCAGCAACGCCGCGUGAAGGAAGAAGGCUUUCGGGUUGUAAACUUCUUUUCUCAGGGACGAAGAAAGUGACGGUACCUGAGGACUAAGCCACGGCUAACUACGUGCCAGCAGCCGCGGUAAUACGUAGGUGGCAAGCGUUAUCCGGAUUUACUGGGUGUAAAGGGCGUGUAGGCGGGGAAGCAAGUCAGAUGUGAAAACCACGGGCUCAACCUGUGGCCUGCAUUUGAAACUGUUUUUCUUGAGUACUGGAGAGGCAGACGGAAUUCCUAGUGUAGCGGUGAAAUGCGUAGAUAUUAGGAGGAACACCAGUGGCGAAGGCGGUCUGCUGGACAGCAACUGACGCUGAGGCGCGAAAGCGUGGGGAGCAAACAGGAUUAGAUACCCUAGUAGUC